rnacentral:rRNA from 1 species
UACGUAGGGGGCAAGCGUUGUCCGGAAUCAUUGGGCGUAAAGAGCGUGUAGGCGGCCCGAUAAGUCCGCUGUGAAAGUCCAGGGCUCAACCCUGGGAUGCCGGUGGAUACUGUCGGGCUCGAGUCCGGAAGAGGAGUGUGGAAUUCCUGGUGUAGCGGUGAAAUGCGCAGAUAUCAGGAGGAACACCAAUGGCGAAAGCAGCUUUCUGGGACGGUACUGACGCUGAGGUGCGAGAGCGUGGGGAGCGAACCGG